rnacentral:lncRNA from 1 species
CUGUUAAGUUUUCAUUAUCAUUAGCUGUUACCCUUAUGAUACUGUUUGCAGUAACAGCAGUAACAUCAGCUGAUUUCAAACCUCUCCGACGAUUUCCACGCUGUAACCCGAUAUGCAUGGCUUUCGAUGAAAAAAAACAAGAAUACUACUGUGAUUACGACUGCUGUAAAAAUGGCGAGUGCGUCUAAUGAUCCAAUGCAAAUAAAAACUGGUAAAUAAAUAAACAAAUAGUUAUGAAAUAAUUUCGUUUUUGUAAGUACAAUAAAAUAUUUACCUAUAAAGCAUAAA